rnacentral:rRNA from 1 species
UAACACAUGCAAGUCGAACGGUAACAGGAAACAGCUUGCUGUUUCGCUGACGAGUGGCGGACGGGUGAGUAAUGUCUGGGAAACUGCCUGAUGGAGGGGGAUAACUACUGGAAACGGUAGCUAAUACCGCAUAACGUCGCAAGACCAAAGAGGGGGACCCUCGGGCCUCUUGCCAUCGGAUGUGCCCAGAUGGGAUUAGCUUGUUGGUGGGGUAACGGCUCACCAAGGCGACGAUCCCUAGCUGGUCUGAGAGGAUGACCAGCCACACUGGAACUGAGACACGGUCCAGACUCCUACGGGAGGCAGCAGUGGGGAAUAUUGCACAAUGGGCGCAAGCCUGAUGCAGCCAUGCCGCGUGUAUGAAGAAGGCCUUCGGGUUGUAAAGUACUUUCAGCGGGGAGGAAGGGAGUAAAGUUAAUACCUUUGCUCAUUGACGUUACCCGCAGAAGAAGCACCGGCUAACUCCGUGCCAGCAGCCGCGGUAAUACGGAGGGUGCAAGCGUUAAUCGGAAUUACUGGGCGUAAAGCGCACGCAGGCGGUUUGUUAAGUCAGAUGUGAAAUCCCCGGGCUCAACCUGGGAACUGCAUCUGAUACUGGCAAGCUUGAGUCUCGUAGAGGGGGGUAGAAUUCCAGGUGUAGCGGUGAAAUGCGUAGAGAUCUGGAGGAAUACCGGUGGCGAAG